UACAGAGGUCCCAAGCGUUGUUCGGAUUCACUGGGCGUAAAGGGUGCGUAGGCGGUUUGAUAAGUCUGAUGUGAAAUCCCGCAGCUUAACUGCGGAACUGCAUUGGAAACUAUUUGACUAGAGGAAUGGAGGGGAGACUGGAAUACUUGGUGUAGCAGUGAAAUGCGUAGAUAUCAAGUGGAACACCAGUGGCGAAGGCGAGUCUCUGGACAGUUCCUGACGCUGAGGCACGAAGGCCAGGGGAGCAAACGGG
rnacentral:rRNA from 1 species